GAUGAACGCUGGCGGCGUGCCUAAUACAUGCAAGUCGAGCGAACGGACGAGAAGCUUGCUUCUCUGAUGUUAGCGGCGGACGGGUGAGUAACACGUGGAUAACCUACCUAUAAGACUGGGAUAACUUCGGGAAACCGGAGCUAAUACCGGAUGAUAUUUUGAACCGCAUGGUUCAAAAGUGAAAGACGGUCUUGCUGUCACUUAUAGAUGGAUCCGCGCUGCAUUAGCUAGUUGGUAAGGUAACGGCUUACCAAGGCUACGAUGCAUAGCCGACCUGAGAGGGUGAUCGGCCACACUGGAACUGAGACACGGUCCAGACUCCUACGUGAGGCAGCAGUAGGGAAUCUUCCGCAAUGGGCGAAAGCCUGACGGAGCAACGCCGCGUGAGUGAUGAAGGUCUUCGGAUCGUAAAACUCUGUUAUUAGGGAAGAACAUAUGUGUAAGUAACUGUGCACAUCUUGACGGUACCUAAUCAGAAAGCCACGGCUAACUACGUG
rnacentral:rRNA from 1 species